rnacentral:misc_RNA from 1 species
AGUAACCAUGGGUUACCGAAGGACGCUAACCACCAACUUAGCGCGCACACACACACACACACACAUUUCUGUGUAUUUCCUUUUAGGUUUAGUGUAUGUGUGGAGGAAAGCGUCGCAGUUCCUCUUUCUAAUUUUUACUUUCUUACUUGAAGAAAGAUCACUGCAAAAUGUAUGUUGAACUGUUGAGAAAUAUGUCUAUCUAACUGACAGCAGUAGAAUUAUUUGAAAAUAUAAUACCUAUAUAUCACUACAUUUAGUUCAAAACUCAUUUUUACGAAUGCAAAUGUAUAUAUGAAUCUACGAAUACAUAUAUAAUAUCGAUAUAUUUACAUAUAGAAAUAAACGUACAUGAAUAUCUAUUAAGCAAGAAGUGGCAAAGAAAUAAACGAUGCCAACAGAUGAAAGAUUCGCCACGAAGGAUUUAAUAGAUGUUGGAGCUCUUUCUACACAUCGCAUCCAACCGAAAAUGUCACGAUUCAAGGCACAUUCCAGUAUCGGAGUGAAGCCAAAUAUUUUUGGCAAGUUCAACAUUGUUACCGUACCAAGUACUAAUAUCUCAAAUUGCAAGAAAACAUAUUCGAAUUUCUUCAGAAGUUCAGUGACUGAUGAACCAUUUUCUCAGAAGAUAAAACUUGUGAACAGACGUGAAAAGAAUUUCGAAAAGCGUUCGUCAAUAGUUAAACAGCCAAAGACUUAUGAAACAUGUAUGGAUAAUGUACGGAGAGAUAAUGUCUCAAAACAACAGAAGAAGAUAAAACACGAACUAAGACGAGAGAAAUUGCAUCAUAAACAAAAAGAUGAAGAAACGAAAAAUAAACAUCAAGAAAUAGACAUAUUUGCUCAUUUGUCUCACUUUCUACUUUGGGAAAUACUUGGAGAGAUACUAUCUUUAAACAAAAGAAGAUGAAACAUGAAUUAAGACGGGAGAAGUUACUUCAAAAACAAAAAGAUGAAGAAAUGAAAAAUAAACAACGCCAUGAGAUAUAUGCUCUCAACAAUCUAAUGAAGAAACUAGAACACACCCACUUUAAGCAGUUCUGCGACUCAGUCGGUAUCAAGCAUAGAGAUAAUACUGAAACAAAUACAGCCACAUUUA